rnacentral:rRNA from 1 species
AUGGCGUCGCCGCCGACCGCCGCCCCCGCCGCCGCGCUUCGGUGCGCGGGCGCCCACGUAGGCCGCGUCCCCCUCCCGCGCCACGCCGGCGGCGCCUACCUCCGCUCCGCCCUCCCGUUCAGGUUAGGCGUGCUGUCGUCGAGGAGGUGCCGCGCGGGCGCUGGCGCCGUCGUGUCGGCCACGAGGAGCCCCGGUUUGGGCAAUGCAGGGAACCUGCGCGAGGGUUCGAACUUGGCUAAGAACUGGGAUUUGAGCAGACAAAUUGGUGAUGAGCACGGUGUUCUUAUAGAAUGCAGGGAUGUGCACAAGUCCUUUGGGGACAAGCAUGUACUGCAAGGCGUCAGCUUCAAGAUUAGACAUGGUGAAGCUGUUGGAAUAAUCGGUCCUUCGGGAACUGGCAAAUCAACUAUUUUGAAGGUUAUGGCGGGCCUUCUAGCCCCUGAUAAGGGCGAGGUGUUCAUCUGCGGAAAGAAAAGACAAGGCUUAGUUAGUGAUGAGGAUAUAUCAGGUCUCCGGAUUGGCUUGGUAUUUCAAAGUGCGGCAUUGUUUGAUUCUCUCAAUGUUCGUGAAAACGUUGGAUUUCUUUUAUAUGAAAACUCCAAGUUGUCUGAGGAGCAAAUAGGUGAACUAGUGACGGAAACAUUGGCUGCGGUAGGCCUAAAAGGUGUCGAGGAGCGAAUGCCAUCUGAAUUAUCCGGAGGCAUGAAAAAGCGUGUAGCCCUUGCUCGUUCAAUAAUAAAUGAUGACACAAAAGAAACAAUAGAGCCAGAGGCUCUUUUAUAUGAUGAGCCAACAGCUGGGCUUGACCCUAUAGCAUCCACUGUUGUUGAAGACCUUAUACGUUCCAUGCACGUGACAGGGAAAGAUGCUAUGGGUAAGCCGGGAAAGAUAGCAUCGUAUGCGGUUGUCACUCAUCAGCAUAGCACAAUAAGAAGAGCUGUUGAUAGGUUGUUGUUUCUCCAUGAGGGAAAGAUAGUUUGGGAAGGGAUGACGGAGGAAUUCACGACAUCAACAAAUCCCAUUGUACAGCAGUUUGCCUCUGGCAGCCUGGACGGUCCGAUUCGAUACUUCUGA